AAAUGGUACUACAAUGGGUGGGAGUAUUGAAGUGAGAAAAGGCAGCAGAGAAGCCUUUCUUCUACAUACAUGAAGAGCUCUUUUGUUCUCAAGGAAGGAAAAUAUAACAUGAAGAAUUUUUUAAAAACACAACCAAAUAAAUUUACGGUGUGGUUUCAGCUUUAUUUUUCUGGGCUCUUAAAGAUGACCUAGUCCAAUUCCCUUAUUUCACAAAUGUGAAAAUUAUCUCAGAAAGGUAAACUUGCCUAUCAUCACACAGCUAAUUCCUGCCACUGUGAAAAAUGGAACCUAGACCUCCUUACAAUAUUGCUCUAGACCUUAGAGUCCUAUAACAUACGUUUAUAUUAUGAAGAGUUUCCAUUCUUCCUAUUAGCAAUAGGUUUUAUGGAGAUGUUCAGGUUAAGCCUAGAUUUUUGCUAAGAAUUUUGAUGAACUUUGCUGAAGCAAUAUGAGUAUUAUUUGCCCUUGAGCCCCCGGUUGUGUUAACGAGGAUCCCUAGUUUCAACCUUUUGUUGAAACAUCACAAAAUGUAGGUGGAGACUAUAGCACUUUCUUUUGCAGUGAGUCAACAAUGCCAGAAGCACUACACAAAAGCCAAGCAGACGUUAUCCCUGCCAGGUGGCCUGAUAUUGAAAAAAGAGAAAUAAAUAAUAUGCUAGAAAAAUUGGAUGACUCAGGGAGCAGGGAAGAAGAAGAGAUGAAGAUUAAAAUUGAUAACAUCAUUUUGUGACUCAGAGUCAUUUUUCCUGGAUCAUAUUUCAAACGUUGCCCUUGUUAAUUUUCCAAUGAAUAUACAGAUUUGAAAGCAAAGGAACAAUGACCCAAAAGAACUAAGAUUCGACAUGAAUGUGAAGAAUUGGGUUACAUAGGGGAAGUGUUUCCAGUAGCGGAUAAGACAUACAUGUGGAAUAGAGGAAAGAAAGUAAUUUAAUAGUCAGAUGGUCUCUGCUGCGAAUCCAGAUCUGCUCAGUGAGAGUGUAUCAUAGGGUCUAGCCAGGAAAACAGAAACCACUCUACGUCUUUCAAACCGAUGCAUUUAAUCAAGGGAAAUUAUUAUCCAAAAUGAUGAAAAACCUGAGAAGCCAUUAGGAGAUGGAAGGCAACAGGAGAAAACUGUAACCACAACUAGAGGUGAUGAAACAACAGGAGGAAAUGGGUAACCAGAGCCCAGCAUCUGGAGCUGUCCAGGAGAAGCUGGAGUCAGUGAAGACUGCCUAGUGGGAAAGACGAUCAUUGAAGGAGGAGCUUUCUUAAGGUUUCAUUCCUGCUCCCAGCAAGCAGUUUCUCAAAUGUGUGCUGCUGGUUCCUACUUGAAGACUGAUGAGAAAUGAUGACAGCCCCAUAUCAACUCGCCAUGAUAAUCCUAACAUUUCUCUGCCACUGUAAAGGUAAUAAAAUCAUUUUCAAGCACAUGAUGUUUCUUAACCUUUAUAACCCUGUGCAGUUAAUAUUAUUUCUCUCAAUUCGCAGAUGAGGAAACAAAGAUGCAGAUUCUUAUUGUCUUCUCAAGUACAUAGUGAGGAGCAGAACCUUUUCUUCUGGAAAACCAGAUUUAAAGAAAUAAGUACAUAGGCAACUCAAGGGUAUGGUCUGCUGAUACACUAAAGGUUUUUUUUUGUUGUUGUUGUUUUGUUUUGUUUUUCUGUUUUAAUGACUCUGGAGAUGAAAGGUUGUAAAUCAAGGGAAUCCCAAGGUAAGAAAAUAAAACACGUUCUCAUUGGUUUGCCAGUGAAAUGAAUGAUAAGUGCAAACUUAAACCUACAAGAUCGAGGAGGUGAAGUUUAAAUAGUAAGUUCUAUAAGAGCCAACCUAUAAAAACAGAUCUGUAGUGUUCCUUCUGACUAUACAGGGGUGUGAUGGUUAAUUUUAUGCAUUAACUUAACUGGAUCACAGGAUGCCCAGAUGUUUAGCUAAACAUUAUUUUGGGUGUGUCUGUGAGGCUGUUUCCAGAGAGAUUAGCAUUUGAAUUGAUAGACUGAGUCAAGAUUGCCCUGACCAAUGCAGUUGGGUAUCAUCCAAUCCUUUGAGGCCCGGACCAGAAGCCAAGAAGAAGGAAGGGAGAAUUUGUCCCCUCUGCCUGAUUGCUUGAGCUGAACAUUGAUCUCCUCCUCCUCUUGGCACUUCUGGUUCUCAGGCCUCAGACACAGACUGGAAUCUACACCAUCUGUGGACCUUUCCUGGGCCUCCAGCUUGCAGACAGCAGGUCUGCAAAAUCAGAUCAGCAGAUCUGUGGAACCACACAGCCUCUGCCAUCAUGUGAGCCAGUUCCUUAUAAUAAAUCUAUUUACAUGAAUGUAUAUAUCUUAUUGGUUCUGUUUCCCUAGAGAACCCUAAUACAAAGGAUUCCCUCUCAGAUAUGUAUAGAAAUUUAUUUUUAUGAGUUUCUAGCCAGGCAUUCAUGUGAUACCAAUUCUUGGCCAGUACUAAACUUUGACUCUUAAUGAUUAAACCACACUCUUUAGGGAGACCACAAUGUGGGGACACAUUAACAGAAGCCAAACACCACACAAGCAAUGAAACAAGAAGGACACACGUCAUCUGCUAAAAAUGUGUGUGUGUGUGUGUGUGUGUGUGUGUGUGUGUGUGUGUGUGUGUAACAUCAGGGAUCAACAAUGCAUGAGUUUGGGAAGACCAGAUGAUGAGACCCAGCUUACAAGGUAUUUUGUAUUUCUAAUUGUUAUAAAACCCGCCAGAUUCAAAGUAAGUGAGAAAUACAGAUAUAGAAAUGGCACUCAUAAAUGAAUUCAACUCCAAAGUGAAUAAAACUUAAGACUAUUUUAAAAUAAAAGUGCAAUUUUAUUUAAAUAAAAUAAAUGCUUUGAGUUAUUUUAAAAUAAAUAUUAGAAGAGCGAACCCAAAUGUUAACUAUGGACUUGGGUGAUAAUGAUGUGCACUGUAGGUUCAUAAAUAAUUGUAAGAUAUUUACCACUCUGGCACAGGAGGCGGAUGGUGGGGUAGUCUGGGUGUGUGUAGGGGGAAGGGAGUGGGAGGACAGAGGGCAUAUAGGAACUCUGUACUUUCUGCCCAGUUUAGCCCUGAACCUAAAACUGUCCUAAAAAUAGAGUGCUUUUUUAAAAAAAAGAAAAAUUAUUUUUUUAAAAGCACAUUUUCUGGAGUUGUGAUCUUCAGGAUUACUGCUAGCAAUUGCAUUUUACAAACAUGCAGAGGCCAGUGGCUUCCAAUCUCUGAGUAUAAUAUGUUGGUCUGGAGGAUAGACUCUGUUUACCUUUUGGAUCCAGACUUUGGUUCUGAAUGAACAUAUUUUAUAGAACAUGCAAAGGGCAGCCGAGCUCGAGGAAGCCUGCAGAGUUCUGCAGUGUGAAGGCACACUGAGCAGAGAUGGCAUUUCCAGUUUUCACAGAAGAUGCCACAGCUCUUGCAUAUACUGUAUCUCCUUCCAACUUAAGUUCCCAAAAGGUAAAAUCACCCUAAACAACCACUUUUAAAAGUCUAAAUCACUUUCCUAAAAACCAGAGGAAAUAAAAAUCACAGUUAAUAUAAAACCAACUACUAAUACUUCCUCUUCUACUACAUGACUGUGUGCAUAAAUAAAACUCUGCAGACAAUUCAAGGGAGCUUUAGAAAAUCCCAGGUAUCUACAGAGGUUAUUGUUCUCUUUGAUUUACCAAUAGGGAGAAUUUAAUUGGUGCAUUUAUUGUGUUUAUCACUGUAGUAACAUGAAUGAAAAUUUUCAGGUCUCUGUCUGGCUUAGAAGGAUCACUGCAAUGCGAUGCCACUGUCUUCCUUCAGGAUGCACCCAUGUGCUGAGGGAUGUGUGCAUUCACCCACUUAGGAGGCUAUAAUCAAAGCUGGCGGUCAGAGCUGGUGUUGGACCUUCCUACUGCCAAGUAUGAGUUGAUUAAUAGCGUGAAUUUUUACUCCGCCUUGUGGUCUUCUGAUUUUUCCCCACAUAUCAGAACCUUGAAUUUACAGUACGAUUAGUAGACUUUGAACAAAUAUUUUAACUGAAUGACUAAUUGAAUAAAUGAUUUAAUUAACACAAGGUGAGUUCAGGGACCAAAUAAUUUGGAUGAUUUACAAGGUUCAUGAAAGAACAGCAGAUAAGGCUGGACUGUGGAUUGGAGAUAGAGUGUAGGAUAUCCUGAAUGCCAGCUGAGGAGGUGGGAGGAGAGGAGCCUCCAGAGGUUUCUGAGUGGGGCGGGAGCACAAUCAAAGCAUGCUUAGUAUGACUGUGAUUAGAAGUCAUGAGUCAAAGUAAAUAUCUGAGAGACAUACCUAAAAAACAAUUUUCUCUUCUUAUUUUUCAUGUUGUUAAUGAAUUAUUUUUAAGUGGGUUUUAAGUUAACCUGAAAAGGUCUUGAAAUUUCAAUAAAAUUAAAACAUUCCAUUUCCCAGAGCUCAUGCAAAAGAAUAUUUCAUAAGUGAUGUAUUUCCAAGGAAAAGAACAUUGACAUACUCUGACUACAUGCUACCUAAAAUAAUAGAGGUUAUUGGUUAAAUAUAUUAAUAACGAGAAUCAUACUAAUAGUUAAUAAGCUUAUGUGUAGUUCUCCGACUUUUUUGAAAUAAUUUAAACAUGUGUUAAGACCUAACAUUUUUACUUAUUCUUUAAAGCUACAUACAGCUUUUUAAAAAUAGCUUUAUUAAAGAGAUAAUUAACAUAUCACAAAACUCAGCCAUUUAAGUGUACAAUUCAAUGGUUUUAGUAAAUUUGCAGAGUUGUACAACCAUCAACACAGUCUAAUUUUAGAAUAUUUUCAUCAACAAAAAGAAACCCCAUAUGCAUUAGCAGUCAAUUCUCACUCCACGCCCAUCCAUCCCCAGCCCUAGGUAACUUAAUCUUUCUGUGUCUAUAGAUUUUCUUAUGCUGGACAUUUCAUUAAAAUGGUAUCAUACAAUAUGUGGUCUUUUAUGACUAGUUUGUUUCACUUAGCAUAAUGUUUUCAAGAUUCAUCCAUGUUAUAGCAUGUUUGAGUAAGUAUUUCUUUUUAUACUGAAUAAUAUUCCAUUAUAUGAAUAUGCUAUUUUUUAAUCCAUACAUUCAUUUAUGGACAUUUGGGUUGUUUUUAUUUUGGGCUAUUAUGAAUAAUUCUCCUAGGAACUUCCAUGCACAAGAUUUUAUGUAGGCAUAUUUUUUCUUUCUAUUGGAUAUGUAUCUAGAAGCAGAAUUGCUUGGUCAUCUGGUAACUCCAUGUUUUACAUUUUUAGGAGCUGCCAAACGGUUUUCCAAAAUAGCUACACUAUUUUACAUUCCUAUCAACAUUAUUUGAGAGUCGCAGUUUACCACAUCCUUGCCAAUGUUUGUUACUAUUUUUAAUUAAAGCUAUCCUAGUGGGUGCAGGUGGUAUCACAUUGUGGAUCACAUUGUGGUUUUGAUUUGCAUUUCCCUAAUGGCUAAUCAAUGUGAACAUCUUUUUAUGUGCUUAUUAUUCAUUGUAUAUCUUCUGUGGAUAAAUAUCUAUUCAAAUCCCUUGUCCAUUUUUAAUUUGGUUAUUCAUCUUUUCAUUAUGAGUAUGAGGGUUCUUUAUAAAUUCUGGCUACAAAUCCCUUCUCAUAUAUUUGAUUUGAAAGUGUUUUCUUCCAUUCAGUGAGUUUUUCUUUUACUUCCUUUGAUAAUGUCCUUUAAUGCAUAAAAAGUUUCCAGUUUUCAUAAAGUUCAAUUUAUCAAUUUUUUCUUUUGUCACUUAUGCUUUUUGUGUUAUAUCUAUAAAAAUCACUGCCUAACCCAAAGUCACAAACACUCUUAGGUUUUAUUCUAAAAAUUUAUCAUUGUAGCUCUUAUUUUUAGGUCUAUAAUCCAUUUUGAGUUAAAUUUUGCAGAUAGUGUGAGGUACAGGUCCAACUUCAUUCUUUUGCAUUCAGUUAUCCCAGAACCAUUUGUUGGAAGUACUAUUCUUUCUCUACAAAACUGUGUUGGUACCUCUGCCAAGGAUCAAUUCUUCAUAAAUAUAUGGGUUUAUUUCUGGGCUGUCAAUUCUAUUCUGUUGAUCUAUAUACCUAUCCUUGUGCCAGUACCACACUGUUUUGAUUAAUGUAGCUUUUAUAAUGAGUUUUGAAAUCAGGAAAUAUGAGUGUCCAAGUUUGUUCCUCUUUUUCAAGAUUGUUUACCUAUUCUGGGUCUAUUGCAUUUCCGUAUAAAUUUUAAGAUCGGCUUGUGAAUUUCAGCAAAAAUUCCAGAUAAAAAAAUUUUUAUAGGGAUUGCAAUGAAUCUGUAGAUCAGUUUGGAGAAUACUCCCAUCUUGUCAUCUUAACAAUAUUAAUUCCUCCAAUUCAUAAAUAAAUAUGGGCUUUUCCCUUAUUUCAGUCCUUUAAAAUUUCUUUCAGUAAUAUUUUAUACUUUUCAUUGUACAAGUAUGACACUUGUUAAAUUUAUACUUAAGUAUUUUAUUCUUUUUAUUCUAUUGUUAAUAAAAUUGUUUUCUUAAUUUCAUUUUUAAUUUUGCAUUGUUAGUAUAUAGAAAUAUAAUAGAGUUUUGUAAAUAUCUUGCAUCUUGAAACCCUGAUAAACUCAUUUAUAAUUUUUAAUUGAAUUCCUGAAUAUUUUCUAUAUACAUGAUGAUGUUGUCUGCAAAUAGUUGUUUUACUUUUUCCUUUCUAAUAUGGAUACCUUUUAUUUAAAAAUACUUUUAUUCUGCCUUUUAUAUUUACUUAUGCAGUUACCUUUACUAAUGCUCUUUAUUUAUUCCCGUGGAGUCAAGCACUCCCUAUUGUCCUUUCAUCCUUUCAAUUCUGUAUGAAGGAUUCCUUUUAAUACGUUUUGUAAGGCAGUCUUGAUAGAGACAAAUUCUCUCAGUUUCUGUUUGUCUGGUAGUGUUUAAUUUUUCCUUCAUUUUUGACAUGUAGUUUUGCUGGAUGUGAAAUUCUUCUAUUACAGUCUUUUUCUUUCAGCACUUUAGAUACAUCAGCCCCGGUAAAAAGUAAUUUGAGGAAAAAAAAUAGAUAUGUUAUCCACUGCCUUCUGGCCUAUGUAGUUUCUGAUGAGAAGCUAAUUAUUAAUCUUAAUGAAGAUUCUUUACACAUGAUAGAUCAUUUUUCCCUUGUUGCUUUUAAGAUUCUCUCUCUGCCUUUGUCUGUUGAAAAUUUGACUAUAAUAAUGUAUAGGUAUGGAUCUCCUUGAAUUUAUUCUACUUGGAGUUUGUUGAGUGUGUGUGUGUGUGUGUGUGUAUAUAUAUAUAUUUAAAAUCAAACUUAGGCAGUUUUGGGCCAUAAUUUUUUCAAGUAAUCAUUCUGCUUCUUUCUUUCCUCUAUUCUCACAUUCCAAUUACACAUAUACAUUUGUAUACUUGAUGGUCCCACAGAUCUUUGAAUCUCUGUUUAUUUUUCCUUUCUGUUUCUCACAAUGGAUAAUAUCAAUUGAUCUACAUUAAAGUUCACCAUUUUUUUUCUUCUGUCAGCUAAAAUCUGCUCUUGGGCCUCUCUGGUGCAUUUUUCAUUUUAGCUUAAUACUUUUCAAUACCAGAAUUUCUAUUUUGUUUUUUAUAAUUUUAUCUCUUUAUUGAUAUUCUCUAUUUGGUGAGAUAUUGUUGUCAUACUUUCCUUGAUUUAUUUUCAUGUUUUCUAUUAGUUCUUUAAACACUUCAUAAAAGCUGAUUUAAAAUCUUUGUCUAAUAACUCUAAGAUUUGGGAUCCCUCAGGGCCAGUUUCCAUUGACUCCUAUUUUCCUGUGUAUGGAUAAUUCUUUCUUGCUUUUUUAUGUGUCUCAUAAUUUCUUGUUGAAAAUUGGACAUUUUAAAUAAUAUAAUGUGGCAACUCUGGAAAUCAGAUCAACACCUCCCAACCAAGGUGUGUGGGUGUGUGUGAGAAAGGUUGCUAUCAUUUUGUUGUAUUUGUUGUUUUUUUUUUUGUUUUGUAACUUUCCUAAGCUAAUCCUGUAAAGUCUAUAUUCUUCAUAGUGUGUAACCACGGUUCUGUUCAGUUACGUUGUUAAUCAGCUAAUGCUUGGUCAGAGAUUUCUUAAAUGCCUCCAAAAAUUAAAUCUUUCAACCUUUACUCUCAGGCUCUGUGUGUGUGUGUGUGUGUGUGUGUGUGUGUGUGUGUGUGUGUGUGUGUGUGUGUUGGGGCAUGCUUUCCAUGUUCAGGCAGCCAGUUUACAAACUCUACCCUAGACUUCAUUUCCUGCUUGCACAGGGCUUCAAGAUCAGCCAAAGACUAGAGACUGGGGCCGUCUCAGGUCUUUACUGGGCAUACACACAACCUUGCAUGUAAGUGCAGCCAUCUAGAUCCCCAGGAAUAUCUUAGAGCUCUUGAAAAGCCCCAGGGACAUCUCAUUUCCCUUAUCUACGUUUUAAGUUUCUGGCCAGGCUCUUGUUUAUCUCUCAUGUUAAGUAAUUACCACUAAUUGUUUUUGAAAAAUUCCCUGGGGAUAGGGCUUUUCCUUUAACAUAUGUUGUGAAUCAGAUCAAAUAACAACUGCUCCUUUUGAGUGGGCUUUUCCAGAGGCUGUGAGAUAGGUCAAACAGUGACAGUGCUCUGCAGAUAGAACAUUCUGUGGAGUUACAAACCCCAUCUACCCCGCCAGUGGCUGCAUGGCUGCUGUUUUUCAUAGCUACUAUGAUUGUGAGGCUGCUGAUUUUCCAGGCUACUGCAGAGAUGGGGAAAGAGUGAUAACAGGAGAUAAAGUACCACAAACUCUGCAGUUCUUAAUGAGGUUCAGCAGUUUUUCCUGAAUAAGCAGUUUUCAGAUUGUUACAAGACUUUGUUAAUUUCUAGAAGUCUAAAACGUUAUUAGUGUUUUCAUGGCUUAGUGUGCCAGUGUUUUCAUGGCUUUUAUGGCAGGGCAAAUUAUAGAGGUAGAGGUCCUCAUACUGCCAUUCCAGAAGUUUCCUACUAGUAUUAUUUUUAAAGGAAAACAAAGUUUAAUUGAAGAUUUUUGUGCAUUAUAAAUGAUUCUUCAUCUUUAUUUUCAACUGUUUUAUUUAGGCAAUUGCAUAUUGUAGUUCAAAAUUCAAUAUUAAUUUACAGAGUGUGACAGAAGCCUACAUUUUCCUAGUUUCUUUCAGCACCUUCUUCAUAUCACAUAUUUCCUCGUGUUAUAUAGAGGGCUGAAUCUCCCAAGUAACUCUCCUUUUUAUUCCCCUUAAUUUAGUUAUGCUUUUUUUAACAUGUGGUACCCAGAGCCAGACAUAUUAUUUUUUAUGUAAUCAGAUCUUUGCAGGACAUACGAGGGCUUUCACAUUUCUCCUGUUAAGGGUAUUAUGUUUUUAUUGCUGUUGUUUAUUAGCAAACACACUUGACUGAGUAUAUAAACCUACCCAGAUUCAAAUCAACUUGAAGCAAGACACGAGAUAAUAGAAAUUGCAAGAUAAAUGCUGAACAGGUUGGUUUUUCUCUUUUGGACUUUGGGGACUUGGGUCCAGUGAGAUCUGAAAAUACCCAAAAAAGCUAGCAAAAUACCAAAGCACACAAAUUUACUUGUUAUUUUAUUUUGUUAUUCUUUAAAACUAUUUUAUAAAAUUUAUUUAAAGUAGAUUAACAAAAGAUUUCUUCUUCCAUUGUGAAAUGCGUUAUUUUCAAAUAUCUUUCUGAUAUCUGAUCAUUUGGUAAAAGAGCUCAUUCUUUCCUAUUAACUAGCCACACACAUACACUUUUUUAAAUAUUUUAAAUAUCAAGAAUACAAAAAGGGAAAAUACACUUAUUUGGCCAUUAAACCUUUCUGGCAUCUUAUUAAAAUCUUAUCAUAAGACAUGAAAAUAAUUGAUUUUAUUGAAGAUGUCCUCAUUCAGUUCAUCUAUAUCUAAGUGAUAUGCAGUAUGCAUAAUCCUUUGUCAACAUUCAAAUAAAUUUAAGACCAUAUUUUGGCAUGAUAAGUUCUAGUUUCUUAAAACUUGUACAAUUCAUGGCUGGACGCUGUGGCUCACACCUGUAAUCCUAGCACUCUGGGAGGCUGAGGAGGUCAGAUCACCUGAGGUCAAGAGUUCGAGACCAGCCUGGCCAACAUGGCAAAACCCUGUCUCUACUAAAAAUACAAAAAUUCACCGGAUGUGGUGGUACAUGCCUGUAAUCCCAGCUACAUGGGAGGGUGAGGCAGGAAAAUCACUCGAACCCAGGAGGUGGAGGUUGCAGUGAGCCAAGAUCACACCAUUGCACGCCAGCCUGGGUGAAAGAAUGAGACUCUGCCUCAAAGAAAAAAAAAAUUUACAAUUCAUACAGAGCAAUUCUCCCACUAUAAUUUAGCCUUCUUAUUUAUGAUGUUCAUCUGAAAUUCAUACCAUUGCUUAAUAGAAUACCUCAAAAUCUCUUUCUGAUAAAUUCAGUGGCUCCACAUUUGAGCAUGAAAAGCAGCAGAAAUAAUCAAAGUAUAUUUUAAAACUGAAGACAACUAAACUGUCAGUUUAAAGGAACACUUGUUAUCAAACUUCUAUCUUACAAACAUUUAGGCUCCACCUAAAAAUCUAGAGCAAAGACCAAAACAUUGUUUUGACAGAGUCUAAGAAGAAUGUGAGGAACAAAGAAGCAAGAGAAAACAUGAAAAACUAAAAUUGAUAUCUCUCUGGCUCCCUCUGUUUGUUUUUUUUUUUUUUUUUUUUAGCUGUAUGACUUAUUAGAUAAUUGUUGCCAUUUAUAACAAGGAUAUUAUACUUUUCUAUUUGUGGUGUUAACCAGAGGCACAGAGCACACAGAAAUGGGGAGCUGGAUGCAUAUAUUUACAUAUUUAAAUUUUAUAAUCCCUAGAUCUCUACUUUUUAGCUUCUUUCUCAAAUAGAUUGAAACCCUUCCCUGGAUGACUGAUGGAACAGAUUGGAGUUUUAUUGCUAAAGGGGAAUAAGAAAGUAGAAAGCCAUGUGCUAUAAUGGAGGCGUACUUUGCAAUCCUCUCAUUUUAAAUGUAUAUUAACAACUUGAUUCUAUAAUGGAAUAACUUCAAGAGUAGCUCUAAGCUCUCUACAAAAUGGCUAACUAUAUUCUUCUUAUUCAUUUCAACCUUCUAAAUAAAACAUGCGACCUCUUCACCCCCA